rnacentral:rRNA from 1 species
AAGGGCUAAAUGCUAUUUUCUUUUUGUAAACUAAAGCAACAAUAUUUAACAAUGGGAACUAUUUAUUUUGCUUGGUGUGAAUUACAGAAUCUCAUGAACCAUCAAGUCUUUGAAUACAAGUUGUGCCCUAAGCCAUUAGGCCAAGGGCAAGCCUGCUUGGGUAUCUUGCAUCAUCAUCUUUUAACCCCCCACCUAUCGGGCUUUGAGUGAGGGGUGAAAGAUGGCAUUCCAUGAUCUCGUCGAUCAUGGUUGGCCCAAAAGUGAGUCCUUAGCAAUGAUAGCACCGCGAUGUCGGUGGUAAAGCUCACUGCAUGCCUCAUCUCCGGUGAUGUGCGCUCGUUAUCCAUCCGAACCCCAUUGUGCCCCUUACAUCACUUGAUUGAUACUCCCAUUGUGACUUUAGGUCAGGUGGGAUUACCCUAUUAGUUUAAGCAUAUCAAUAAGUGUAGGAAAAGAAACUUACCAAGAUUCCCCUAGUAAUAGUGAGUGAACCAGAAAGAGCCUAGCUUGAGAAUUAGACUCCCCAGAUGUCUAAAUUAUAGUUUGGAGAAGUAUCCUCAGUGACAAACUGAGCCUAAGUCUCCUAAAAAGAGGUGCAGGAAAGGGUGAGAGCCCCUAUUAUGCUUGGAUAUUGUCACACCAUGAGGCACUAUUUACGAGUCAGUUUGUUUGGGAAUGCAGCCCCAAUCGAGCUAUAAAUUUCAUCCAAGGCUGAAUACGAGUAAGAGACUGAUAGCAAACAAGUACUAUAAGGGAAAAAUGAAAAGGACUUUGAAAAAAAAGUCAAAGAGUGCUUGAAAUUAUCGAAAGGGAAGUAGAUGGGGUCGAUGAUACACCUCGAUUGGAUGUGGAAUGGUGAGAGCUAGUUUUUUGAUCAACUCAAGGCAUGGACUGACAUGGGUUAUGGUAGAAGCCUAAGCCCAGGAUUUUGAUAUGCUCGUGGAGACAGCAUCACCAUGAUCAUGGAAUGCAGUAUGUGCUAUCUCAACAUGCAUUAGCACUUGCAUGCUCCAAUCAUGCCUUCAAGCUUUCCAUCUGACCCAUCUUGAAACACAGACUAAAGAGUCUAACAUGUGUGCAAGUCAAUGGGUUAGGAAACCUAUAAGGUGCAUGGAAGCUGAAUAGCGGGAUCUAUCAUGGGUGCACCUGGGAUUGACCUUGAUCUUUUAAGAAGGGUUUGAAUACGAGCAUGCCUGUCAAGGCCCAAAAGAUGGUGAACUAUGUCUAAGCAGGGCGAAGCCAAAAAAACUCUGGUGGAGGCCCGUAGUAAUACUAACAGGCAAAUCAUUCAUCUGAUUUGGGUAUAGGGGUGAAAGACUAAUCGAACUAUCUAGUUGCUAGUUCCCUUCAAAGUUUUGUUCAGGAUAAUUGGAGCCUUUAGCGAGUUCUAUUAGGGAAAGCCAAUGGUUAGAGACAUUGAGGGUGUAAUGCCCUUGACCUAUUUUUAAACUUUAAAUAGGCAAAAUGGUGUGGUUGCUUCGUUGGGCCAUGCCAUGGAAUCGAGAGCUCUAAGUAGGCCAUUUUUUAUAAGCAAAUAGGUAAUGCAAGAUGAACUGAAAGUCAGGUUAUGGUGCCUAAUUGCACAUUAACUAAGAACCCAUAAAGGGUAUUGGUUGAUUAAGAUAGUAGGACGGUGGUCAUAGAAGUUAAAAUCCACUAAGUAGUGUGUAACAACUCACUUGCCGAAUCAACUAGCCUCGAAAAUGGAUGGCACUUAAUCACAUGACCCAUUCCUGGCCAUCAGGGUAAGGGCCAGGCCCUAAUAAGUAGAAGGGCAUGGUGGUCACUAUAAAACUUAUGGCAUGAGCUAGGGCAAAGAAGCUAUCAGUACAGAUCUUAGUGGUAGUAGCAAAUAUUCAAAUGAAAACUUUGAAGGCUAAAAUGGGGAAAGGUUCCAUGUGAACAAUGCUUGCACAUGGGUUAGUCAAUCCUAAGGGAUAGGGGAAGCCCAUCUGACAAUACAUCUAGUACAAACUUCGAAAGGGAAUUGGGUUAAAAUUCUUGAACUGAGAUGCGAUGACUGACGAUAAUGUUAAUGAGUCCAGAGACAUCAGUGGGGGCCUUAAGAAUAGUUAUCUUUUCUGUUGAAUGGCUUGCCCACCCUGGAAAUGACUAAGCUGAAGAAAGGGUCCAAUGGAUGCUCACGUAAUAUGAUUUCUGCCAAGUGUUUUGAAUGUCAAAGUAAAGAAAUUCUACUAAGUGUGGGUAAAUAGCGGGAGUAACUAUGACUCUUUUAAGGUAGCCAAAUGCCUCAUCCUCUAAUUAGUGACAUGCAUGAAUGGAUUAAUGAGAUUUCCACUAUCCUUAUCUACUAAGCAAUGAAACCACAGCUAAGGGAAUAGACUUGGCAAAAUCAGCAAGGAAAAAAGAUCUUAUUGAGUUGAACUCUAGUCUGACUUUGUGAAAUGACUUGAGAGGUGUAGGAUAUGUAAGAGCCAUCAGGCAAAAUUAAAAUACCACUACUUUUAAUGUUAGUUUACUCAUUCUAGGAAUCAGAGGUAGGGCACGACCCUUUUUUUAGACCUUAAGCCAGCCUUGGUCAGUUGAUCUGAGUGAAAGACAUUGUUAGGUGAAGAGUUUGGCUAGGGAGGCAUAUCUAUUAAAAGAUAACACAAGUGUCCUAAGAUAAGCUUAACGAGAACAUAAAUCUUAUGUGGAAUAAAGGGUUAAAUCUUAUUUGACUCUAAUUUUCAGUAGGAAUACAAACUAUGAAAGUGUGGCCUAUCAAUCGUUUAGACCUUCAAAAUUUAAAGCUAAAGGUGUCAAAAAAGUUACCACAGGGAUAACUAGCUUUGGCAACCAAGUGUUCAUAGCGAUUUUGCUUUUUGAUCCUUUGAUGUCGACUUUUCCUAUCAUUGUGAAGUAGAAUUCACCAAGGGUUGGAUUGUUCACCCACUAAUAGGGAAUGUGAGUUGGGUUUAGACCAUUUUGAGAUAAGUUAGUUUUACCUUACUAAUGGUAGUGUUGUAAUAGUAAUUUAACUUAGUAUGAGAAGAAUAUUGAUUCGCACAAUUGGUCAACGCUCUUGGUUAAAAAGCCAGUGGUGCAAAGCUACCAUACAUUAGAUUAUGACUGAAUGCCUCUAAGUCAGAAUCCAGGCUAGAAGUGAUGCAUGCACCUACCACUAAAUUGUUGACUCAUAGUAGGGGCCCAUGGGCCCCAAAGGCAUGUGUCAUAGGUGCAGCCCUUAUGGUGGACAAGCUACGCGAACCUUCUUAGAGCUCAAUUCCCAUCGAGCGAGAAUAAUCCUU